rnacentral:rRNA from 1 species
UACGUAGGGUGCGAGCGUUAAUCGGAAUUACUGGGCGUAAAGCGUGCGCAGGCGGUCUGUUAAGACCGAUGUGAAAUCCCCGGGCUUAACCUGGGAACUGCAUUGGUGACUGGCAGGCUUUGAGUGUGGCAGAGGGAGGUAGAAUUCCACGUGUAGCAGUGAAAUGCGUAGAGAUGUGGAGGAAUACCGAUGGCAAAGGCAGCCUCCUGGGCCAACACUGACGCUCAUGCACGAAAGCGUGGGGAGCAAACAGG